rnacentral:tRNA from 1 species
GGGGGUGUGGCUCAGCAGCAAGAGCGAUCACCUAGCACAUGAAAGGCCCUGGGUUUGAUCCUCAGCACCACAA